rnacentral:lncRNA from 10 species
CCCAGCGCAGGUGGCUCUGCAGGAGGCCAACUCAUUACCCAGCAAUGGCCUUGCCUGAUGUGGGUAACAAGCUCAUUACCUGGUGAUGACCUUGUUUGUCUGUUCCUGGUGUCAGCAGCCUCAGCUCUCCCUGCAAGGAAUGUCUAGCCUGGGGUGGGUCUGACCAGUCUGUGCCACAGGCACCAGCAUCCCAGUCUGCACUGCAUGGGGUGUCGGGUCUGACAGCAUCUACCUAUAUGUGCCCUGAGGGCCCAGACUCAGCCCCCAGUGGGAAGACUCCGGGCUCCUGAUGGACCCCUCCCAAUUGCACAACCUGAGCAGUGGUCAUGGCAGGGGCAGAUGCCGAAGGUGCUGCAGAUGGGCAGGAGCUUUCCUUCCCUUUAACACCAUUAGUCACCGUUACCCCUCUGGCCAUUCCAGCUAAAAGGUCAUCACUGCUCUUGGUCUAGAAGCAACAGAAAAUGAAAACGAAUUUAGUAGAUCAAGCAAGAUUAGAUAUUUUGAGACUCAACAAAGCUCAUGACUUUUAUACUGAGUUCAAGAGCCCUAUUACCAAAACUUUCUGACGGGUAGUAAGCAGCACACCAUACUGCGCUACAGAAAUAGAACUUUACAGGUUUAUAAACAAUCACGUACUUCUUUUUUUUUUUUUUUUUUGAUAUAGAGUCUGGCUCUGUUGCCCAGGCUGGAGUGCAGUGGCACAAUCUCGGCUCACUGCAACCUCCGCCUCCCCAGUUCAUGCGAUUCUUCUGCCUCAGCCUCCCAAGUAGCUGGGACUACAGACAUGCAUCACCACACCCAGCUAAUUUUUGUAUUUUUUUUUAGUGGAGACGGGGU